CACUCCCUGGCAAUGGACAAAGAGAUACCUUGUUGGUGUUUUUCUUCUAUCAGUCAGGAGUAAAGCAGAUGACAGUCCUUUGCACAUCCUAGCCUGAUGCCUGGCUUGGUGGCUAAAGCUGUUUUAUGCCUAGGACUGAUAA